rnacentral:rRNA from 1 species
ACGAUGAAGAGUUUGAUCCUGGCUCAGGAUGAACGCUAGCGGCAGGCCUAACACAUGCAAGUCGAACGGUAACAGGGAUUGCUUGCAAUCCGCUGACGAGUGGCGCACGGGUGCGUAACGCGUAUGGAACCUACCCUUUACAGGGGGAUAGCCCGGAGAAAUUCGGAUUAAUACCCCGUAGUAUUGUUAAUCGGCAUCGGUUGACAAUUAAAGCUUCGGCGGUAGAGGAUGGCCAUGCGUCCUAUUAGCUAGAUGGUGAGGUAACGGCUCACCAUUGCUACGAUAGGUAGGGGCCCUGAGAGGGGGAUCCCCCACACUGGUACUGAGACACGGACCAGACUCCUACGGGAGGCAGCAGUGAGGAAUAUUGGACAAUGGUCGUAAGACUGAUCCAGCCAUGCCGCGUGCAGGAAGACGGCCCUAUGGGUUGUAAACUGCUUUUUUACGGGAAGAAUAAUGCCCACGUGUGGGCAGAUGACGGUACCGUACGAAUAAGGACCGGCUAACUCCGUGCCAGCAGCCGCGGUAAUACGGAGGGUCCGAGCGUUAUCCGGAAUCAUUGGGUUUAAAGGGUCCGCAGGCGGGCCAGUAAGUCAGGGGUGAAAGUUUGCGGCUCAACCGUAAAAUUGCCUUUGAUACUGCUGGUCUUGAGUUGCGGUGAAGUGGCCGGAAUAUGUGGUGUAGCGGUGAAAUGCAUAGAUAUCACAUAGAACACCGAUUGCGAAGGCAGGUCACUAACCGCCGACUGACGCUGAUGGACGAAAGCGUGGGGAGCGAACGGGAUUAGAUACCCCGGUAGUCCACGCCGUAAACGAUGGACACUAGCUGUCGGGGCUCACGCCUCGGCGGCCAAGCGAAAGUGAUAAGUGUCCCACCUGGGGAGUACGUUCGCAAGAAUGAAACUCAAAGGAAUUGACGGGGGCCCGCACAAGCGGUGGAGCAUGUGGUUUAAUUCGAUGAUACGCGAGGAACCUUACCAGGGCUUAAAUGUAGUGGGACAGGCUUAGAGAUAGGCUUUUCUUCGGACUCAUUACAAGGUGCUGCAUGGUUGUCGUCAGCUCGUGCCGUGAGGUGUCAGGUUAAGUCCUAUAACGAGCGCAACCCCUACCGUUAGUUGCCAGCAUGUAAAGAUGGGGACUCUAACGGAACUGCCGGUGCAAACCGCGAGGAAGGUGGGGAUGACGUCAAAUCAUCACGGCCCUUACGUCCUGGGCUACACACGUGCUACAAUGGCCGGUACAAUGAGCAGCCACGCCGCAAGGCGGAGCGAAUCUAAAAAACCGGUCACAGUUCGGAUCGGGGUCUGCAACUCGACCCCGUGAAGCUGGAAUCGCUAGUAAUCGGAUAUCAGCCAUGAUCCGGUGAAUACGUUCCCGGGCCUUGUACACACCGCCCGUCAAGCCAUGGAAGCCGGGAGUGCCUGAAGUCCGUCACCGCAAGGAGCGGCCUAGGGCAAGAUCGGUAACUAGGGCUAAGUCGUAACAAGGUAGCCGUACCGGAAGGUGCGGCUGGAACACCUCCUUUCUAGA